rnacentral:rRNA from 1 species
GACGAACGCUGGCGGCGUGCCUAAUACAUGCAAGUUGAGCGCUAAAGGUUGGUACUUGUACCAACUGGAUGAGCCGCGCACGGGUGUGUAACGCGUGGGGAAUCUGCUUUUGAGCGGGGGACCACAUUUGGACACGAAUGCUAAUACCGCAUAAACACUUUCAACACAAGUUUUAAGUUUGAAAGAUGCAAUUGCGUCACUCAGGGAUGAUCCCGCGGUAUGUUAGCAAGUUGGUGAGGUAACGGCUCACCAAGGCGUUGAUGGAUAGCCGACCUGAGAGGGUGACAGGCCACAAUGGGACAGAGAUACGGCCCGGAGUACUUCGGGGGGAAGGAGUGGGGAAUAGUGCACGAUGGGCGGAAGGAUGAAGGAGGAAUGCCGCGUGGGAGAUGACGGCUGUCGGGGAGUAAAGCGGUUGCGCCUGUGAAGAAGCGUGAGUGACGGUAAUGGGUAAAGAAGCACCGGCUAACUACGUG